rnacentral:lncRNA from 1 species
CCCCAGGUUCUAGAAGGCCCUGCUCUCUGAUUCCUGUGCUUCCUGCUCCGGGAUCUCACCAGAGCCCUGCCUUUGGGGAGAGGCAAUGGCUGAUGGAAGCCUGGAGGUGAAUGUGUCAAUGGGCCAUCCUCGAUGGUCAGGCAGUGCCUUGGCUCAUCUGGGCAUCAUUCUCCAAUCUGGAAAACGAUCUAGCUGUUGGAAAGACAGUCAACCUUAGACUUAGCCCCCUGUAGUGUGCAUUUUGUUUUUCAAGAAAAUCAUAUAUUCAUAAAAUCCACUUUCAUAAAAUCAAAAUCCAAGGCCAUCAAAGCAGAGGGCCCCUUGUGGCUCAGCAGUAAUGGACCCGAGGAAUAUCCAUGAGGAAGCGGGUUUAAUACCUGGCCUUGCUCAGUGGGCAAAGGAUCAGUGAGCUGUGGAUUAGGUGGUACAUCCAUCUCUGAUCACGGGGGGCCAAGUCCAGAAUGGUGGCAGAGGCGAUCUUGUGUAUCUCUGAUCGACCACCAGCCUAGAACUUCUCCAUGCCAUGCGUGGAGAUCCCAAAAUCAAUAUAAAAUCUACAUUUUUUUUAAAAAGUUACACCUUGCCAUUUGUUACUAUUGAGUCAUUGAAAUAAAGAAUCUUUUCAUCUUUGCCCAGGAAAUACAUUAGUACAUGAAUUUUAUCAGAAGAAAGAUAUCCAUUGAAAUCCUAUCACCGUGUAGUAAGACAUCUACCAAAUGGCCUUCAUUUCUCUUCACACUCCCGCUGACUGUUGAAGACUUGUGGUUUAUGCAAUGAAAUAAUAAUGAAAAGAAGGGAAAAAUCCUCCACCAGGAACAGAGAACACCAUUGCUCCUGGAAAGGUGAAGUGUCAAUCUGCACGGGUGCUCUGUAUCUUCUGUGUGGCUUAUGAAACAGGUGGGCAGAGUGAUGGAUGGACUCAUGCAUCAGCAUUAUCCCUGAGGGAUCUACCAUGUGGCCAUUAUUUCUCAUCAGAGAAAGAAGUGAAAGACCCACUCCCUGAUAGCUCUUUAAAGAGUUGUGGUUCAUGCAAUGAAAUAAUGCUGAAAAGAAGGGGAAAAUCCUCCAUGAGGAACAUAGAACACCAUUGUUUCAGGAAAGGUGAAGUGUCAAUCUGCACAAGUGCUGUAUCUUCUGUGUGGCUUAUGAAACAGGUGGGCAGAGAGAUGGAUGGACUCAUGCAUAAGCAUUAUCACCGAGGUGAGUCACGGGAUCUACCAAAUGGCCUUUAUUUCUCAUCAGAGAAAGAAGAGAUAGACCCACUCCCCACUAGCUCUUGAAAUGCUUGUGGUUCAUGCAGUGAAGGAAUGCUCAAAAGAAGGGGAGAAUCCUCUGUCAGGAAUGGAGAACACGACUGCUCCUGGAAUGGUGAAGUGUCAAUCUGCAUGGUUGCUCUGUAUCCUCUUUGGGGCUUCUGAAAUUGGUGGGCAGAAUGAUGGUUGUUCUCAUAAAUAUGCAUUAUCACCAAGUCACGGUGAGUGAAACAAGAGAGUGUUAGGUAUGGACAUAUUUUCAUACAAAAUGAGUAACCAUGGGCAUGUCAAUUGUUUUCAAUUAAAAAAAGAACACCCUGUUGUCUGUUGUGUGAAAGACUUUUGGGGAGGCUUACUGUGCCAUUUAACUGGUUGACUUUUCAGAAGAAGAUGCAUGAAAGAUUAGCCAUUGUUUUUACAUUCUUGACAUUUUUCUUUUCUAGGGCAAUAGAUCCACAGAGUUCAAAGGUCCAAAAACGGAGUUUAAUGACAAAAGCCCCACCUGCCAGGACUGAGUAGCACUGGUAUGAUUUUUAGUCGCAUUUCCUAGAUAGAAAUGUCAUUUGGCCUAUUGAAGGAAAUGUGAAAUAUGUUCUAAGUUUAUGGAGGUCUAGGACAUGGUCUAAUAUGUGCUUUCAUUUCCUUUCCCAUCAAUGGUCGUCUCAUCCUCCAACCGGAUUUUUGGUAUUGUCCUGAUAACCUAUAAGGAAAAGGUCUGUUCCAUAUCAGGAAGUUCACAGGCUUGGACUUUCCAGGUGCCAUGGAUGUGGCCUUAAGAGGAUUCAAAGAAAUCCAAAUCCUAUUCACCACACUAGGAACCAGAGUCACAGCAGUGACAACAGUAGAUCCUGAACCUGCUGAGCCAUCAGGGAAUGGCUUGGUAUCUGCUGCAAGGCAAUAUUUUUGGUCCUAUUCGAGAUCCACAAAAUCAGUAACCCUGGAGGUGGGUUCCUGCCCUCAGGGAGUGAGAAGGCCCUCUGUGGGAUUAUGAUAGAUGCUCACGUUUGGGAAGCAUAGCUGGAGUCCU